rnacentral:rRNA from 1 species
GAUGAACGCUGGCGGUGUGCCUAAUACAUGCAAGUCGAGCGAACAGACGAGGAGCUUGCUCCUCUGACGUUAGCGGCGGACGGGUGAGUAACACGUGGAUAACCUACCUAUAAGACUGGGAUAACUUCGGGAAACCGGAGCUAAUACCGGAUAAUAUAUUGAACCGCAUGGUUCAAUAGUGAAAGACGGUUUUGCUGUCACUUAUAGAUGGAUCCGCGCCGCAUUAGCUAGUUGGUAAGGUAACGGCUUACCAAGGCAACGAUGCGUAGCCGACCUGAGAGGGUGAUCGGCCACACUGGAACUGAGACACGGUCCAGACUCCUACGGGAGGCAGCAGUAGGGAAUCUUCCGCAAUGGGCGAAAGCCUGACGGAGCAACGCCGCGUGAAUGAUGAAGGUCUUCGGAUCGUAAAACUCUGUUAUUAGGGAAGAACAAAUGUGUAAGUAACUAUGCACGUCUUGACGGUACCUAAUCAGAAAGCCACGGCUAACUACGUG